CACCACAAAGUAAAGCAAAGAAAACAAACAAAAAAACAAACAAACAAACAACAACAACAAAAAAACAGACCAAAUCUGCGUUCACCUGACCAGGAAGCAAGCUCAGGCUGCUCACGUGUCUGCCUUCCUACCCACGUCUACAGCGGCCACUCCAGUGGCCCUCCUGCUUCUCCUUCCUCUGUUUCAAAACAGAAAGGUUCCUCACCCCAACUCCCUAUUCUUUCUGGAUAAAAGUUUACUUCUUUGCCCUUAAUUGUUUUAAAGCAUUUUAUCCCGCUGUGGUAAGAAGCAUUGAAUACAAGCUCUAUCCUUAUCCAUGUAGGCUGUGCUGAGCUAAGACCUCCAGAGCUCCUUGAACUUGUAAGGAAGCACAAGGCCCCUUCAUUAGCACCUCUUAGUUGCCUCUCUACCUGGAAACCAUUUUUCUACUGCCCAAGAGAUGACAUCAUAUUCUUUAUCUAAGCAGUGCCAUGUGGUAGCAGUCCUGAGACUAAUUUUACUCAGCUCUGUGUCCUCUGGGCCUAUCCAAGUUGGCUGUGGUAGACUCCUCCUCCUCUACACUGCUGGGCAAUACUCUGUUGUAUGUAUUGUUCCUUGCCUAUGUCUGUGGACAAUGAUACUGCUUUCAUGUGGGCCACUGUCAGCAGCACAGAGAUGAACAGUACAACAGUUUGGGACACGGGUUCCAUGGUAUUUGUGCUUAAUUUCUUCUAAGUUUCCUUUCUGGUGCCAUGAAUGCCAAUUGAGGCGACAAGUGGAGGCAGAGGGCACUCUGUCGGGCUAGGUAGAGUUACUAGAGUUCAUGGAGGCCAAGGAUGACAUCUUGGACCAGGGUAGUGUAGGAGGAGACGGGUGUGAUGGGACACAUUUUACAGUAGACAGCCCAAAUGCCAUCUUGCCUUAGGGUCUUCCUCUGUCUGUUUCCUCCUCUCGAAGGACAAGUGUGAUCUUUCUCCACCAGCUGAAGGUUACCUCAGGGAACAGCUUAGUGAUAACCCGCAGUCUGCGGAUGUGUGUUCACCAUAUCUGAAUCUCCUUACACUCAGUGCACUGAACUCACAAGGUCACAGAACUUCACUGUCUACACGCAGCCUGAAGCUCAUUGGGCCCAUGUCUCAGGGCCUCUGGAUCAUCCUAAAGAGUGUUUGAAAGACUGGUUUUAAAUGCACUUGGUUUGAACACUUUGCCUCGUCCAAAUAACCCCUUCCCAUUUCCCUAGAGCCUGGAAGUCACUAUUCUACUAUAUGGUUUUGUGAUUUGGAGUUACUGAGACUCCACCCAGGAUGCCUGUCCUAAAACCAUACUGGUGUCCUUCCCCUCCCCUAGCACCUCCCUCUCCCUCUCCUCCCCACCCCCCCAUCCCUUUUCCUGGUUGUCUUGCUAAGUUUGACCUUGUACAGUUUUGGCUUGAGUCUCCAUCUCUUCCCUAGGAGUCCUGAGAGGAAGGACUCCACCCUAAUCUCCCAAGCCCAGACCAAUGUCAGUGUUGUAAAACACUCAGUGAGAAAUGGUGGACCUCGAUGACACUUGGGGGUAUGUAUGUCUUUAUAUCAUAUGAGUCUAGGCUGAAGGAAACUCACAGCCCUGGUUGAGUGGGCAUCCUUUAAGUUGCCUUCUAGAACAUUCCCACCAUUCACAGCCACCAUGUCAACCACAGAGUUAUACCAUGUGCCUCCCUUUCCCCACGAUACAUUGGAAAUCAUCUCUUUUUUUUUCUUUUCUUUUUUUCGGAGCUGGGGACCGAACCCAGGGCCUUGCGCUUGCUAGGCAAGCGCUCUACCACUGAGCUAAAUCCCCAACCCCUGGAAAUCAUCUCUUGAUGGAUGCUUGCUCUAUUAGACUCUCCAUCCCAAUGCAGGAAGGAGACUAGAUAUUGGAUGCUGUUGGCGAGGAGGAAAAAGAAGAGGGCAGGGGAGGAAGGAACAGACCAACAGCAUCAUUUAAGAGAAAUUGACUGUGUGCCCAGCAGAGUUGUAAGUAAGCUGGAUGUAUGUACUCAUAAUCUCCUUCACACUCAAGUAUGCUAAAAUCUCACUUAUAGUUUACUUUCUAGUUAUGUGUGUGCUUUGUGUCUGUGCAUUGCUAUGUGCACAUGAGCCCGCAGUGCCUGUCUGGGGAUGGCCAGAGGCAUGGCACUGGACACCAGGCACCUCUCCCAAGCAUGUGUGUGCCUUGGGCCUAGGCCUGGCUCAGACCUCAUCUACUCUGCACAUGUGUGGGGAACCUGUCUUGUGCUUCUGGAUCCCUUUGUAAAAUCGUGUCUAAGCUGGAUGGUGGGGGGCAGGAGACAGUGCAUCUGUGACAGCCUCCGAUCAGGCAGCCAGGGGCUAUUUCUCAACACAAACUGGACUGUGGCCAUCAGAGGGUGCUUCUAUACACAGCUGUCCCCUUGAGACAGACCUGAAAUUGGGGUCUAAGACAUGGUUCUUAUUUCACUAAUUCAACAGACCCUAAAGGCCCAGAAGAGCUCUCUCCUGAUUUCAGUGGAAAUAGAGAGGCAGGCCAAUUUUAGCUUAAGCCUUUAGGGUGGGGACAAGUCCAAGGUUUCUGACCUGAGCCUGAGAGAGAGGUCCUACUCCACCUACCUUUGGGGGCACUUAAGAUUCAUAGGAACUCUAAAAUGAAAGACAUCUGCCUACUGAGAGUAGCUGUGCCUGCAUACCAAGCCAGGGGUUCAGACCUCCUUCAGCAAAGAGGUCAUCUUUUUAAGGUGAGACACUUGUUGAUAACCUUGGCUCUAGUUCUGACCUUAGCCAAAGGAGAGGCCAGCUGUUGUGCUGGGGCACAGGAGUGCAGCUCAGAGGGCUCUUCUAUCCCCACUCUGUCAUCAAAGCCAUGAUGAUGACCCGCACCAGAGCAGGUGCUUGGCCUUCUUGUCUCUCUCAGGGAUUCCCAGGCCCAGCUUCCCUUGACUUGUUAGAGUAGUCUUUAUUAAAUGCUUUUUUUAAAAAAAUUAUUUUAAACCCAAUAAAUCGAGCAUCAUUACCUGUUAAGGUACAAAGUGCAGCCUGGAAAACUGUCCGUACCCCACGAUCAUGAGUACAGGCCAUGACAAAGAAAGAAAUUAAAUCCUGUUUAGAGGGAAAGCCCAGACUCUGUCAGUUUAUUCUCUCAGCACAGAAGAGGCAAAGUCUGUGGUGUGCACCCCAUUAUUAGGUCUGUGGUUGAAUCACAGCCGUGUAUUAUUUUAUCCUCAAAUAUUUUAUUCUGAUGGAAGGCCAUCAGUGCUGGCGAGCAUAUUUCUCACAAGUGCCACUGAUCCCCUGAGGGGAUAAGAGCACCUCAGGACCGUGGCAUGGAGAAGGCCUGCCUAGCUAAAAAGUGAACAGUGGUUCUGAGUCAGAAGGAAAAAAAAAAACUAAACUAAACCUUUUCCACUUUUCCCCAAACUGACAAAUUUGACUUGUCAGAUGCAAGUUCAACUUGUGGACAAUCCACUUGCGACUGAUAGUCACCAUGGUAACUGAUGGUCACGUGACGACACAGAAGCCAUCAAGACAAGAGAGCCGAUUUCCAGACUGCUUUUCUUCUAGUAAAUUCUGCGAUGUCAGCCUAAUUAACAGGAGCGGAUUCGGGACCUUAGUUCAUAGCUUGAUUGGCAGCUGAAGAGCGUCCUGAGGGAUCUGAUACAACCAGUGGCCUUAUCCACUCGUGGAUUCACGAUAGAAUGAAAACGUUGCUUCCUGUCUGCAUCAGUGAUGAAGAAUCUAACAGAAAGGGAACUCUAUAUGCCUUUGAGAGAGAUGGAUUCCUGGCACUUUAGAUCAAAAGUGGGUAUUGCUGGGGAUUCCGGACCACUGGUAUGUUGGGGACCGAUGUUGGAUUCAAUGACUGGAAAGCAUGGAUUGGGAUGGAUUGGUGAAGACGAAUUCGCUCAGUGUUGCCUUUGCCCUGCACAGCUCUCCACCCAACUCUACCUGCCCUUGGGGGCUGUGUGCGAGUUGGCGCAGAGUCAAUGACACAGACUCCUGGAUCAGGUGAGAAACACUGCAGCAAGCUCAUCUGAGCACUACUGCAAGCUCCUUUAACGCCCUCCACCUACUCCCCCAUCGGUUGCAAGAAAGUAUUCUAAACCGCAGUUCCCGAUUGGUUGGCAUUAUUUGCACCAGCAAUCCUUGCACUGUCCGGCAGUCCUCAAUUAGGUCCUCCUGCAGGAGAUGCUUUUGCAGCUGCAUGGCCCCCAAAGUUUACAAAGAGGCAGCACUGCCGUUCCUGCUACAACCCACCUCCAUCUUCUCCUUCCUUCCCCUUCCGCACCACCCUAGGAAGCUAUGGCUUCACUGUCUACCCAAUGCCUUUCUGCAGUGUUUCAUUUUCACACUGCUUCUUGCUAAGGACUGGGCUCUUGAGAGGAAGUCUGUGUUCGCUCAGGAAAAAAAGCCCCGAAGCUGAGUACUGAGUCCUUUGCUAUGAUGUGCAGGCCAGCUUAUAGCUAGAGGUAGUUCUGAAAUGCUGGGUCCUGUGGUAGCCAAUUCCACCCUCUCCCCACCCCCGGCUGGGCAGGGUGGUAUGGGGGCACAGAGCAUUGCCAGAGUGCCUGACAUCAGCAAUAUUCUGCUUGCAGCAAAAUUAUUCUAGACGUUUUCAGAAAUCACGGGCUAGAAGCUUAGGGAAGCCACAGUCAACCUGGAGCUGUCUUUUGUCUGUUACAUACAGGUCUGUGUGCGUGUGCAAGCAUAUGCAUGUGUGUGUGGUUAUAUUUGGACAUGUGUGUUUGUGUAUGUUAGGCCAGAGGACAACCUCAGAUGUUAUCAUCACAAUGCUCUCCCCCUUCUUAGAGAUAGCUCUUAUUGGCCUGGAGCUCCCCAAUUAGUCUAGACAGGCUGGCCAGCCCACCCCGGGAUUCAUAUUCUCUCUCUCUCUCUCUCUCUCUCUCUCUCUCUCUCUCUCUCUCUCUCUCUCUCUCUCCCCCCCCCUCUCCUUUCCCUGUGAGGAGUUUGCAGGCAAGUGCUACCAUGCCCAGCCUUUGUGGGUUCUGGAGAUUGAACUCAGGUCCUCAUGCUUUCAAAGUAAGCAAGCACUUUACCCAGGAAGCCAUCCUCCCAGCCCCUAUAAAUACAGAGUUAGAAUUUUAGGUUCUUAAUAAAGUGUAAGAGGUAUGGCAGCCCUCCUGGGUCCCCUCCAUGAAAGCAUCCAUCUUGUCCAUGGUUCAGACCUCGAAACCUAUUCUCCUUCCCUUGGCCCUGUCUCCUUCACACUCGGGGGUUUACAUUCUCUCUCUCUCUCUCUCUCUCUCUCUCUCUCUCUCUCUCUCUCUGUGUGUGUGUGUGUGUGUGUGUGUGUGUGUGUGUGUGUGUGUGUGUGUGUGUGUAUGUCGUGGGGAAGGGCAGUCUAGGAGGACGGGCGCACCACGAGAGCUGCAGUAGCACCACUGAUGCUUCUUUGGAACAUUGAUUUGAGGUGGACUGAGUGAAGACAUGUUUCAGGAGUUGGUUUUCUCCUUCCACCUUGUGGGUUUCCGGGAUCACACACAGAUUGUUUUUGCAGCAGGCACCUUUGCUAGCUGAGCCAUAGUGAUAGCCCCGUGGUUCUUUCACCGGGCUCAGCUCUACAUCCAUGGAUGUUCGUGGCAUAACACUGCAUCUUGUUUUGGACAAAGACUUCCAGAGACAAGGGUGGUUCUGGGAGAUAGACCAACACGCCCUCACAUCAUGGAGUUUACUGGCAGUGGAGUCCCAGUUAGAAUCCUUCACACCCUGGAGGCAUCUUCUCUCCAGCAGGACAAACACUCUGGGAGACUGCAGCCUGGACUCCUGGAGCAUGAUGGGAAACAUGGACAAGUGUAAGGCCUGACAACCUCCAGACUGCUCCUGCAAAGGUCUCCGUAUAGCCAUGAGAACCCAGGAAGUGACAACUGAUGGCCCAGGUUUCUCUGAUGGCUCCGAGGGCACUUAGAUACAUCAUUGCCCCAUUACCCACCACCCACUGUAGCCUCUGUGAGGAAACUCUGCUAAGGAGGCUCUGCUCAAACUCCAGCCUCACCCCAGAGAACCAUUUUCACUUCAGUUUUAUAGCAACACUUUUUCAAGCUUGAAAGGGGUUCUGAUCUUGCAGAAUAUUUUCCAAGACCCAUCUUGGCCUGUACUGAUAGUCACCAAAGCCCAAGAUUUCAACUGAAGAGCUUGGAUUCCUUUUCUUUGUUACAUAUCUUUGUUAUUUCCUUAAUUAUAUAAGAUUAUAGUAUAAUUACACCAUUUCUCCUUCUCUUUCCUCCCGCUAAACCCUCCCAUAUACCUCUGUGAUCUUUUUCACGUUUUUAUUCUUUUUUUCCCAUACAAUAGGUUUUGAUCAUGUUUCCCUCCCACAACUCCUCCAAGCCUACUACUAUCCUUCUGCUAAAAGAACACAGUAAUAAAAGGACUCGAGUGACAGCCUGCUCUGCCAUAGAUCAGUACUCACUCAAGUGACAGCCUGCUCAGCCAUAGAUCAGUCCUCACUCAGCCCCCAGCAGAGAAGUUGCUCCUUGCAGUACAGGGGUUAACAGAGACCCACACAAGUGGGAAAGAUGCAGACAGGGAGAGACUUAGGAACACUCAAUCCUAAGCCGGAUGUCUUCAUCAAAUCAUAGACUCAGGGAUCUAUGCGGAAGAAAAAGCCAAGAGACUUUAAGAGCUGGAAGGGGUGAUGGACUCCAAGGGAACAGUGUCUUCACAUACACAGCAGAAGUGACAGACGCUUGGGUUCACAGAGACUGUGGCAGUGUGCACGAGACUUGCACAGCUGGUUCAGCUGGAUGGGGUCUCAGCACUGAGAGAGAAGAGUGGGCAAGCCUUUUGUUUUUGUUUUUGUUUUUUUUUUUGGUUCUUUUUUUUUUUUUUUUUAAGGAGCUGGGAACCGAACCCAGGGCCUUGCGCUUCCCAGGUAAGCGCUCUACCACUGAGCUAAAUCCCCAGCCCCUGUUUUUGUUUGUUUUAUUUUGCUUUAAACUUGGUCUUUCCCCUCAUUUAAUGCUUUGCCACACAGUACACUUGUGCAAUUCCAGGCGGAGGAAAUCGAGAGGGGAAACCGUUGAAGGUAUACCCUGUUUGUGUUGGGUUAUUACACCAGGAUGUUUCCCUCAGUUAGAGAUAUUAAAUUGCAUUUGUUUUACUAAUAACAUUUUCACCUUAAAAUCGCUUUAUCUAAUCUCAUAGUGGGUUGAGGAUCACUUGCAUUUGGGUGAGACAGGUACCGCCAGGCCAGGCACCUGUGCCCUGGCUAUCCCUUCACUGGUGCCAGGCUCUGAGCUAAGCCUGGGCAGGAGUCAGCUGCAAGACUCUGUGCAGUUCUUUAAAGAGAACAGAAACUGCAGAACUGUGGAUGAGAAUGUCAAGGUUCAAACCACGCAGUGCAGGCUUUGCACCACAGGCAGCAUGGCCUCCAUUUCAACAAGUCCACAUGCGAAAGACCACCUGUCGCUUUUGUUACUGGAUCCUUCCAAUAAAGCAGGUAUGCCAGUAACUCCAUUCCCUAAGGAAACAGACGACAGCAGCCGCAAAGUGGGAAACAUUCUGGACCUAUGCAGAGAUACACGACCACAGUUUGUCUGCUCAGGGACAGUAAGUAGUACAAGGUUCAUUCAAGGGUGGCCUCUCAGCUGCUGUAUACUCAUGUCUUCUCCUUAAUAAGGGCUGUGCAGCUACAAGGUAUGGUAGGAAGUCCAGAGGCAGGGAAAGCUAUCAGCAGAAGAGAGAGAGAGAGGAGAGAGAGACAGAGAGUGACAAAGAGGUAGAUAGGAGAGAGACAGAGAGGAAAGAAGGAGGAAGGAUGGAGAAGAAAAGGGGAAAGGGGAGAGAAGGAAGGGAGAAAGGAAUGAAUAAAGGAAAGAAGGAAGGAAGAAAGAUGUAAAAAUCAUAUCUAAGAAAAUUGGUACAAAAAGAACCUAAGCUGGGCGGGAUUUAAGGUCCAAGGCCAGGUGGGUGGUACUCAUUUGUAUAACGGUGAACUCCAGACAAAAGGGUGUUACUUGGAAAUGACUCUGGCUCUCAAAGGCAACACUUCCCCUUUGCUCCGCGUGGCGUGCACUCCGUCUAAGGACAGGAAAUGUGCACAGAAUCAGAACGCAAUCUCAGGAAAUGCUUGCACAGCAUGCUUCAUCUAUUAAGGUGUCCCUUGAUGCCUGCUUACCUGGAAAUUGGCCUUGGGGAAACACCAUGCUUGCUUGCUUUCCUAGCUAGAUAAACUUGAACUUAUGCAGAAGGGAUAAUGUUUUAAUAUCGUAUUUACAGUCCCUAGGGCUCUUCCGUCACCCACAUUUUCAAAAGACACUAUCUUACUAUAUAGGCCAGGCUGGCCUCAGACUCAACCAUCUUCCUGCCUCAGCCUCUUGAACGCUAUGCUUACAGGUACCACACAUACAAGGCUCUUAGUAAAUAUUUUUUAAAGAUGUAUUUAUUCUGUGCACGAGUGUCUUGUCUACGUGUGUGGAAACACACUAUGUAUAUGCCUGGUGCCCAUGGAGGCCAGAAGGAGAAAUUAAAGAUGGUUGCUUGUUGCCCUGUAGUGUGCCAGGAACUGAGCCUAGAUCCUCUGCAAGAGCAAUGAGUAUUUUUAGCCACUGAGUCAUCUCUCCAGCCUUCUGCAACAUGUUUAGUUCGAGUAAUUUUACUUCCUGCAGUCAGCAUACUUUUUGAGCUGCCAUUGUCAACCUGGUUUGCGGAUGAGGCCACUUCAAGAAGGGUUAACUUGUUCAGCUCAGCAGGGUGACGGAUGCCACCCUGCCUGUGCCGAGCAGCCACCUUGUCUGGGUUACUCUAGACUCUGUGUGGUGGCACAUGCACGAAGAACAAUGGAAUGAGGUCAAGCUGGGAUGGAGGAGUUAGGAAUGUCUCUGCCCAGGCCUGAGACAGACAGCUGGGUUAAGGAGCAGAGGAAGGUGAUGGUGAAGUUCAGUGUCAGUCAGUGUGGACUGAGAUGCGGGACUUGGCAUUCCAACCCCAGUGGGAUUUGCAGAAGCCUUCUAUCACAUGGAACUCACCCUCUGUCUGCUCCAUGGAUCCAACCUCACCUCUCUCUUUAACCUCAGGGCCCUAUUGACACCAAAGCCCUCAAAGGAACCUGGCAGUCACUCAGGAUUCCAGGAACUUUUCCCUUCUAGUCUCCUGACCUGAUUUUCAAAAAUCUCUCAGAAAUAAAAUACAAAACAAAACAAAAACCCACACACCCUCGUCAAGACAGGCAGGGCAACUCUCUGCAGGCUAUGGCAAACAAUUGUUCUAGGAUCCGGCUACCUUGGGUGUUGGGGAGAACAUAAGACACCAAGAUGGGGUGAAGGGAGAGGGGCUCUCACACAGGAGUCACACUAAUGAUUCUGAAUCUUUCCACCCUGAAAAGCUCUCCUCAUUAGCCUGUCUGAAUUUCUGAACACGGGGGUGUGGAUGGGCUCUUUCUGUUGUGGUUUAAAUCACCUUGCACUCAAGAUGACAUUUGAGUGCUAUUAUGAUGGUACUGACAGGCACUUACAGGUAAUUGUAAAUUCUCCACCCGGUGAUACUCAGUUAUAGCAGCAGAACACAGACUAAGACAUUGUACAGUUAGAUUUCUACCAUUAGGACAAAAUUCCGGAGGCAGACAUUUUAUCAAGAAAGGUUUAUUUGGGCCUUUGGUACUAUAAUAGUAUGUCCAAACCAUGUGGUAGAAAAGGUUUGUUUGUAUUGUCCAGGUCCCGAUGUCUCGUUUAAUGCUACAAGAACCCUAUUGGGAUGCAUUGAGCUUUUUUAUUUCUGCUUCGUAUGUUUAAAGAGGAGCUAGCUCUCCAGAACCAGUGUGUGGAUUUUGCAUUUUAAAUGCUUUUCUGAAGCAACCCUGAUACUUUGCUUUUUGUGGUCAGAUAGGUUUUUGGGUUUUUGUUUGUUGUUUGUUCUUAAUCUAUGGGGGAAUCUGGGAGAUGACAUCAAGGAGUUUGCAACAGGGUGCAGGGUCCCGUGUUCUCUGUGAUAACUCAGUGUUCCAUGUCCAUGACCCUUAGGAUAUUGCACAAUUGUAGCCCACAGUGAAUGCUGUGUGAUCUGAGAGAACCAGCCCAGGAGGGAAGAGCGAACUCUGAGAGUCUAAAGCUGAGACCAGAGAGGUGGUUCAGCCUUUAAGAGUAUGUGCUGGGGGGUUGGGGAUUUAGCUCAGUGGUAGAGCGCUUGCCUAGGAAGCGCAAGGCCCUGGGUUCGGUCCCCAGCUCCGAAAAAAAGAACCAAAAAAAAAAAAAAAAAAGAGUAUGUGCUGGGGGUUGAGGAUUUAGCUCAAGGGGUUAGGGGUUUGGCUCAGUGGUAGAGUGCUUGCCUAGCAAGCACAAGACCCAGGGUUUGGUCCUCAGUUCUGGGGUGUGAGGGGAGAAGGGGGUGUUGGGGGCGGAUACAUACCGUUCUUGCAGAGGACCUGAGUUCUAUUUGUAGUGCAUACAAGAGAAGGUUCACAACUCUUGAAACUUCAGUUCCAAGUGAUCUGAUACAUACUCACAGACACAUACUUGUAUGCCUAACUAAAAAUAAAACAAAAACUUUUAAGGUGCUGAACCCAUGUGAGACAGUAUUUGUUUUCCGUAGUCUGUUUGCAUAGUAGAAAGGGAGUUUUCCCUUCCCUUCUUUUUCUUCCUUUGCAUGCCUCUGUUUGGACAACUUUGGCAGGGAAAAAUCACACAGAUACCAGCUACUCUCAGAGGUUCCACGAGACCAGGGCAGACCAAGACCAUGGCUUUCCAAGGAGCUGAGUAAACCUCAGAAGGGUCUUUCUGACAUUUGUCUCUGCAGAAUUCUCCCACUAGUUAGCAAAUACUGAGUAGAGACAAUGCCGGACUUGGCUCAAAGAGCUACCUCUUUGACCCCUGGGGCCCUCUACAACUCACCUGGGCAAUCAGGGAGACCAGCUGACAUUGGUAAACAAAAACAUUUCCAAGAACUGAUAAAAAGGAAACAUAACAGUCUCAAAAUUCCCCUGAAGAGGAACCCAUCAGAGCCAGGUCACAGGACAGAGGAGGAACCCAUCAGAGCCAGGUCACAGGACAGAGGAGGGAUUGUAAGUAGGUAAGAUAGGAUGUAUGGGACCCUAACACACAGCUCAGUUGGUAAAGCCCUUGUCUAGCAUGUACAAAACCCUGGGUUUGCUCUCCAGUACCGUGUAAACUGGGUGCUCACAUCUCUAAGCCCAGCACUUGGGCAGUGGCUGGAGGAUCAAGGGUCUAAGCUUAUUCUCAGUCAUACACCGACAGUAGGUUUGUAGCCAGCCUCGAUUACAUGAAACGCUGCCUCAAAAAAUAAAUAAAUAAAAUUAAGGCUGAAAAUAACUAAGGGAGAAUGUGUUUGCAACCUUGAAGUGGGAGCAGAAAGGGCCCCGAGCAAAGCAGAUCCCAGAGGGGAUUGGCUGGGGGAAGAGUGGUAAGUCUGCCAUCAUCAAAAUGUGAAACGUCUGAUUUAAAACCAGAAAUAGCUACAAACUGAAACCAAGACAGGCCACAGAGCAGAGGACACUUGUAACAUACUGUCUGUGCAUGUAUAUGCAUAAAUGUCAGUGUGUAUUAUACAUACACACACGUGCAUACGGAAUCAUGUAGUCAUGUUUAUGCAUAAGUAUAAUAUUUGAAUACAUGAAUAGAUUCUUUUUUUUAAUACUUUAUUUACCUUUAAUUUUAUGUGCAUUGGUGUUUUGCCUAUAUGUAUGUCUGUGUGUCAGAUUCCCUGGAAUUGGAGUUAAAACCGGUGUGAGCUGCCCUGUGGGUCUUCUGGAAGAACAGCCAGUGCUCUUAGCCACUGAGCCAUCCUGCCAGCACCCAUGCAUAGACUCUUUUGUGUUAGGCACAGCUGUAAUCUAGCAUUUGGGAGACUAAGGCAAGAGGUUCACAGUUAGAAGCCUGGGCUGAAGAACAAAAUAAAAAUUUUCAGUUGUUAUCCAGGCUCGGUCAGGAAUACCAGUAAUCAACAAGGGUAAAAACUCAAGAGUAACAAUGAAUGAAAAUGAAAAAUGAAGGAAGUAGCUGGCCAGACAACCCACAGAAAAGGCCUGAGGACAGGGCAGAGGUUCUUGCUUCAUCUAGAUUGUAUGGAUGCUUUCCAGUGAAUGCAUCUGCUUGGUUUAACUGUAAAAGAAAGUUACCUUCAAAUUAAGUUUGAGCGAAAUGACACAUUCACUUGCCCACACCCGGGGAACUCAGUCUCCAACAGAGAAGCCAUUUUGUGAGAAGCUGGGUAGUCAUGGAGCUAUCAAUAGAAGAGAGAGAGGACAGUGGAUGACAGUGAGUCAGGGCAAGGCGGCCAUGGGCGGCAAAGACCCUAUGCAGUUGUGCAAGACCCUGCCUAGUCCCAGGGAACUUAGUGGGAGAUACAUGGAGAAUGACACAUGAGCAGUAGAAGGGACUCUCCAUUUGAGUUGAGGUGACAUGCAAGGGCCCCUAGGGCCUGGAGGGACUUGGACAUCUCCAGAACCAUGAGGACGAGGGUCAUUCUAUUCCUUGUGCUAAUGCCUAUUUGAAUGACCAGUACUGAAAUUCUGUUUAGAAGGGUCUAGAAUCAAAUGAGGGACUCUAGUUUGAAGACCGAGGAGGCAUCACUAACAUUUUUUAUUAUCUUUUCUCUCUGCUUCUUUCCCUUCUUCUGACUUUCUCUUUCCUCCCCUCCUUCUCUCUUUCCUCACUCACCCAUCCAUUUACUGUCUACAGAUACAAUAUAAUAUUUUACACAGCCUCCCUUCUAAGCACUGGGCUCUGUGUUGGCUUCCCAAGACAAUGGUUGCCUGACUCCACUCAAGGUGCCUUACAGUACAGCUGAAGGGGGGGCGGGGCGAGGGGAGAAGGCCUGUGUCAGUCACUGGAAGGACGCUGGCAAACCAUGGGAAGGAGAUGCUACUGUGGGAUCAAAUGACACAGCCCUAUGGUCCAGAUUCACCUCCAGCUAAAAGCAAACUUCCACCCCUCCCUACCAUGGUUCCUUUAGAAGCCGGGGGAUUUCUGUGAAGAGGACUCCGACUGAACCCUUGCUGUGCACAGAACUGCACCAGGAAUCUUAGGUGACUUCUCUUCGCUUCCAGGCCACCUAAUUGUGCUGCUGCCCGCAUGAACUUUCCAGUGUGAUUCCAUUAGAACUAGACUUGCCUUCUGGAAGAGUACAGUCUUUCACCCCUGAAAAUCAAAAUAGCGAUGACAUUUCCAUGUGACGGACACCCAGUGUCUAGCCCUAGCUCAGUCAUGCUUAUAAGACUGGGAUCAGCAGCCGAGAUCAAUGAUGGAGCCAGGAUACGCAGAAAUUCACUCUGCUUCUCAGAAGACUGCACACCUCCAGCACGCACCUGUGGCGAACCCCAUUAUUCUUUUGUAGUACUCAGUAGAGAAUGUUUGUAUCUCUGCUGUUGUGAUGCGUUAGGUCCUGCUGGAGUAGCCCACAAGCUUCCUAGCAUGAGAGGAAGCUGGAAAGUCCCUUUGCCAGGCCUCCCCCACCCCUCACCCCUGGCUCCACCUCCCUCCAGCCUACCUUCUGAGAUUACACCUUGCUGACCCCCAGCAUGCUUCCCAAGAGACAUGUGCUCUUGGGACAGAGCACGCACUGUCUGUGGAGAUCCUUUAUGACAAAGUUCAACUAAAACAUAGGAAUCCUGGAGAAAGCAUCCCAGAAUUCUCAUGGCUUGUGGGACAUGCAAGCAAGCUCCAGAUCACACUCUUAGUUGGCAAAACUCUCCCAUAAUGGAGGCCAGUAUGGCAUUGGUUUUAAUAGCCACUUGGAGUAAAGUCUGUUAUCUAUUUGGAAAGAGACAAAAUUAAGAAUGCAGCACAAGCUUUCACAAGUCCAAAAAUGUAAAAAUAAGACCUUAGCUUCCUCCCGCUCUUACUAGAGCAAGUUGGUCUUCUAGACAUUGUUGGCCUACCGGGCACCACCCUACAGAUUAAUAUGGCUUCCUAGCAUGAGAACAAGCUGGAAAGACCCCUAGCUCUGGCCCGUCCCCAGCCCGUCUCCCCCUGAUUCCACCUCCCCCUGGCUCCACCUCCCCUGACUCCACCUCCCCCUGACUCCACCUCCCCCUGGCUCCACCUCCCCUGGCACCACCUCCCCCUGACUCCACCUCCCACUGGCUCCACCUCCCCUGGCUCCACC